AUCCCGUAAAAGGUUUCAUCCAAAUUGAAUCAAUGAGUCACCAAAUUGUAAUGGAGCGUUGCUGCUUGAACGAUCUCCCUUCCAGAUAUAAUGUUGCUUGAAUUCCAUUGAAUCAUUGAUCAGCUGCAGCAGCAGCAACAACAAGAGCAGCACUAGCAAGAUCAGCAGCAACAGUAAGAGCGCCAACAAUAACAGCAACGACAACAGCUACAACAUAUUAGAGUAGCGAGUGGUAGUGGUAGCAGCAUUAGCAGUGUAGUAAUUUGAAUAUAGGGAAUUACAUGUAUGUCUCACAGGAGCGGAGCUACAAUACUAUGUACUUUCCAUAGGACUAUUAGUUUUUUAUUAUUAGACAUAUAUUCACAUUAGGAAAUUCAUGAAAU